GCCCUUGGGGGCAACUCCUCUCCCAGCGCCAAAGACAUUAAGAAGAUAUUAGACAGCGUGGGCAUCGAGGCGGACGAUGACCGGCUCAACAAGGUCAUCAGUGAGCUGAAUGGAAAAAAUAUUGAGGAUGUCAUCGCCCAGGGUGUUGGGAAACUUGCCAGUGUGCCUGCUGGUGGAGCUGUGGCUGUUUCUGCUGCCCCUGGCUCUGCAGCUCCUGCUGCUGGUUCUGCCCCAGC